rnacentral:rRNA from 1 species
UACAGAGGGCUCAAGCGUUGUUCGGAUUCAUUGGGCGUAAAGGGCGUGUAGGCGGCGCGCUAAGUCGGGUGUGAAAUUUCGGAGCUUAACUCCGAAACUGCAUUCGAUACUGGCGUGCUUGAGGACUGGAGAGGAGACUGGAAUUUACGGUGUAGCAGUGAAAUGCGUAGAUAUCGUAAGGAAGACCAGUGGCGAAGGCGGGUCUCUGGACAGUUCCUGACACUGAGACACGAAGGCCAGGGGAGCAAACGGG